rnacentral:rRNA from 1 species
GAUGAACGCUGGCGGCGUGCCUAAUACAUGCAAGUCGAGCGAACGGACGAGAAGCUUGCUUCUCUGAUGUUAGCGGCGGACGGGUGAGUAACACGUGGAUAACCUACCUAUAAGACUGGGAUAACUUCGGGAAACCGGAGCUAAUACCGGAUAAUAUUUUGAACCGCAUGGUUCAAACGUGAAAGACGGUCUUGCUGUCACUUAUAGAUGGAUCCGCGCUGCAUUAGCUAGUUGGUAAGGUAACGGCUUACCAAGGCAACGAUGCAUAGCCGACCUGAGAGGGUGAACGGCCACACUGGCAGUGAGACACGGUACAGACUCCUACGGGGGGCAGCAGUAGGGAAUCUUACGGAAUGGGCGAAAGCCUGACGGAGCAACGCCGCGGGAGUGAUGAAGGUCUUCGGAUCGUAAAACUAUGUUAUUAGGGAAGAACAUAUGUGUAAGUAACUGUGCACAUCUUGACGGUACCGAAUCAGAAAGCCACGGCUAACUACGUG